rnacentral:rRNA from 1 species
UACGUAGGGACCAAGCGUUGUUCGGAUUUACUGGGCGUAAAGGGCGCGUAGGCGGCGCGGUAAGUCACUUGUGAAAUCUCUGAGCUUAACUCAGAACGGCCAAGUGAUACUGCAGUGCUAGAGUGUGGAAGGGGCAAUCGGAAUUCUUGGUGUAGCGGUGAAAUGCGUAGAUAUCAAGAGGAACACCUGAGGUGAAGACGGGUUGCUGGGCCAACACUGACGCUGAUGCGCGAAAGCGUGGGGAGCGAACAGG